GCAUUUAUACAGUGAAACUGCGAAUGGCUCAUUAAAUCAGUUAUCGUUUAUUUGAUAGUACCUUACUACUUGGAUAACCGUGGUAAUUCUAGAGCUAAUACAUGCUUAAAAUCCCGACUGUUUGGAAGGGAUGUAUUUAUUAGAUAAAAAAUCAAUGUCUUCGGACUCUUUGAUGAUUCAUAAUAACUUUUCGAAUCGCAUGGCCUUGUGCUGGCGAUGGUUCAUUCAAAUUUCUGCCCUAUCAACUUUCGAUGGUAGGAUAGUGGCCUACCAUGGUUUCAACGGGUAACGGGGAAUAAGGGUUCGAUUCCGGAGAGGGAGCCUGAGAAACGGCUACCACAUCCAAGGAAGGCAGCAGGCGCGCAAAUUACCCAAUCCCGACACGGGGAGGUAGUGACAAUAAAUAACGAUACAGGGCCCUUUCGGGUCUUGUAAUUGGAAUGAGUACAAUGUAAAUACCUUAACGAGGAACAAUUGGAGGGCAAGUCUGGUGCCAGCAGCCGCGGUAAUUCCAGCUCCAAAAGCGUAUAUUAAAGUUGUUGCAGUUAAAAAGCUCGUAGUUGAACCUUGGGCUUGGUUGGCCGGUCCAUCUUUCUGAUGCGUACUGGACCCAACCGAGCCUUUCCUUCUGGCUAGCCUUUUGGCGAACCAGGACUUUUACUUUGAAAAAAUUAGAGUGUUCAAAGCAGGCCUUUGCUCGAAUAUAUUAGCAUGGAAUAAUAGAAUAGGACGUUAUGGUUCUAUUUUGUUGGUUUCUAGGACCAUCGUAAUGAUUAAUAGGGACGGUCGGGGGUAUCAGUAUUCAGUUGUCAGAGGUGAAAUUCUUGGAUUUACUGAAGACUAACACUGCGAAAGCAUUUACCAAGGACGUUUUCAUUAAUCAAGAACGAAAGUUAGGGGAUCGAAGAUGAUCAGAUACCGUCGUAGUCUUAACCAUAAACUAUGCCGACUAGGGAUCGGUUGUUGUUCUUUUAUUGACGCAAUCGGCACCUUACGAGAAAUCAAAGUCU
rnacentral:rRNA from 1 species